UACGAAGGGGGCUAGCGUUGUUCGGAAUUACUGGGCGUAAAGCGCACGUAGGCGGACAUUUAAGUCAGGGGUGAAAUCCUGGAGCUCAACUCCAGAACUGCCUUUGAUACUGAGGAUCUUGAGUUCGGGAGAGGUGAGUGGAACUGCGAGUGUAGAGGUGAAAUUCGUAGAUAUUCGCAAGAACACCAGUGGCGAAGGCGGCUCACUGCCCGAUACUGACGCUGAGGCACGAAAGCGUGGGGAGCAAACAGGG
rnacentral:rRNA from 1 species